AUUGCCCUCUUUCUUUCUGCCUAACACAUGCAAGUCGAACGGCAGCACAGUAAGAGCUUGCUCUUACGGGUGGCGAGUGGCGGACGGGUGAGGAAUACAUCGGAAUCUACUUUUUCGUGGGGGAUAACGUAGGGAAACUUACGCUAAUACCGCAUACGACCUACGGGUGAAAGCAGGGGAUCUUCGGACCUUGCGCGAUUGAAUGAGCCGAUGUCGGAUUAGCUAGUUGGCGGGGUAAAGGCCCACCAAGGCGACGAUCCGUAGCUGGUCUGAGAGGAUGAGCAGCCACACUGGAACUGAGACACGGUCCAGACUCCUACGGGAGGCAGCAGUGGGGAAUAUUGGACAAUGGGCGCAAGCCUGAUCCAGCCAUACCGCGUGGGUGAAGAAGGCCUUCGGGUUGUAAAGCCCUUUUGUUGGGAAAGAAAAGAAGCAGGUUAAUACCCCGCUGUUCAGACGGUACCCAAAGAAUAAGCACCGGCGAACUUCGU
rnacentral:rRNA from 1 species